rnacentral:ncRNA from 1 species
GGAAUGAUUGGGCGUAAAGCGUUUGUAGGUGGCUUUUCAAGUCCGCCGUCAAAUCCCAGGGCUCAACCCUGGACAGGCGGUAGAAACUACCAAGCUGGAGUACGGUAGGGGCAGAGGGAAUUUCCGGUGGAGCGGUGAAAUGCAUUGAGAUCGGAAAUACACCAACGGCAAAAGCACUCUGCUGAGGCGACACUGACAGUUUCGAUAGCCGAUUAUGUUUCUUUUUUCUAACACAUUAUUAAUAAGGAUAGUUGGUAGUGGAUAUUCUCAGGCGGCCGCC